rnacentral:rRNA from 1 species
AGCGAACGCUGGCGGCAUGCCUAACACAUGCAAGUCGAACGAGACCUUCGGGUCUAGUGGCGCACGGGUGCGUAACGCGUGGGAACCUGCCCUUAGGUUCGGAAUAACUCCCCGAAAGGGGUGCUAAUACCGGAUAAUGUCUUCGGACCAAAGAUUUAUCGCCUUUGGAUGGGCCCGCGUUGGAUUAGCUAGUUGGUAGGGUAAAAGCCUACCAAGGAGACGAUCCAUAGCUGGUCUGAGAGGAUGAUCAGCCACACUGGGACUGAGACACGGCCCAGACUCCUACGGGAGGCAGCAGUGGGGAAUAUUGGACAAUGGGCGAAAGCCUGAUCCAGCAAUGCCGCGUGAGUGAUGAAGGCCUUAGGGUUGUAAAGCUCUUUUACCCGGGAUGAUAAUGACAGUACCGGGAGAAUAAGCGCCGGCUAACUCCGUG